AAGACCGGUGCCAGCCGCCGCGGUAAUACCGGCGCCCCAAGUGGUCGUCACUAUUAUUGGGCCUAAAACGUCCGUAGCCGGUUUGGUAAAUCCGUGGGUAAAUCAGACAGCCUAACUGUCUGAAUUCUGCGGGGACUGCCAAACUUGAGACCGGGAGAGGUACGGGGUACCUGCGGGGUAGCGGUAAAAUGCGAUCAUCCCGUAGGGACCACCUGUUGCGAAGGCGCCGUACUAGAACGGAUCUGACGGUCAGGGACGAAGCCUAGGGGCACGAACCGGAUUAGAUACCCGGGUAGUCCUAGGUGUAAACGCUGUGGACUUGGUGUCGGGGACUUUCAGAGAGUUUCCGGUGCCGGAGUGAAGAUGUUAAGUCCACUGCCUGGGGAGUACGGUCGCAAGGCUGAAACUUAAAGGAAUUGGCGGGGGAGCACCGCAACGAGAGGAGCGUGCGGUUUAAUUGGAGUCAACGCCGG
rnacentral:rRNA from 1 species